ACUCAAAUGAAUUGACGGGGGCCCGCACAAGCGGCGGAGCGUGUGGUUUAAUUCGAUGCAACGCGAAGAACCUUACCAAGGCUUGACAUGCUAGUAGUAGGGAGUAGAAAUACAAACGAUCCUUCGGGAAGCUAGUACAGGUGCUGCAUGGCUGUCGUCAGCUCGUGCCGUGAGGUGUUGGGUUAAGUCCCGCAACGAGCGCAACCCUCGCCGUUAGUUACACCUCUCUAACGGGACCGCUGGGAUAAACCCAGAGGAAGGUGGGGAUGACGUCAAGUCAGCAUGGCCCUUACGUCUUGGGCUACACACACGCUACAAUGGCCGGUACAAUGGGCUGCCAAGGCGCGAGCCGGAGCUAAUCCCGCAAAACCGGCCCCAGUUCAGAUUGCAGGCUGCAACUCGCCUGCAUGAAGGCGGAGUCGCUAGUAACCGCAGGUCAGCUACACUGCGGUGAAUACGUUCCCGGGCCUUGUACACACCGCCCGU
rnacentral:rRNA from 1 species